UCGAAUUUCCUCUGCCAUUGUUUUGGGUCAUUCUAGUUAGCUGCAGUUACGAUAAUAUGGCUCAAAUGUAGUGAAAAUUUCGAAUUGACUUCACAAGGGCUCGGUUGUCAUAUAUAUUUACUUCACAUGCCGUAAAUCUAUUCGAGAAAUAUUGAUAUUCAUUGUUUAAUUGAAUUUACUGACAAAGGACAAGAUUAAACGAGUGAACUUGGAUAGAAGUGAGGGCGGAGGUGGAAAAAUGCCCCCUGUAUCUGGUAAUGGAGGGCUGAAGGAGACGAUCAGUGAAUAUGUCUCGAACAACAAGGUGAUGAUCUUCAGCAAAACCACCUGUCCAUUCUAUAAAAAGGUGAAAGACUUAUUGCAAUCUUCACAGAUCAAAUUUGAGGUGUUGGAGCUGGACCAGCAAGCCAAUGGAAGUGAAAUCUAGAACGCCCUACUGAAAAUAACUGGUCAACGAACAGUUCCGAAUGUGUUUGUGGCCGGACAACAUCUAGGUAAGUGUUAAUUGGAUCGUAUCAAAGGAAAUUGUUUUAUUCUGGACGCUGUUUGAAAUUAAGAUUAUCGUGAUUUUAUCAAUAUUUGUUGAAUACCAAUAUCCUUGGAUUUUAUGGUUGAUUUGAUCCACCAAAUUAAAUCGUCAUCAGAGUGUGAUUUCUAAUAAUGUAUUAAUAACGUAUUGAAAAUGUAAUUUUCACUUAAUUAAUGAAAAAUAAUGUCUAUAAAUAUUAAUGAAGCACAGAAUGAGAUGAUCAUGUUUAAUUUUCAUUGAUGUACGAGGAGACAAUCGAUUAAUGUUCUUGUAUACAUGUACCA